UAAAGCCCCAGCCCCCUUUUAGAUCAUUUUUAAAGGAAGACAGCAAAGGAGACACCACCAUUUCUCUACCUUUUGAAAAUGCCAACAUACCACUGUGAAAGAAGAGAAGUCCUGAUCCAGACAUUUCCAGCCAUCCUUGCAGCUGGCAUCAGGACUUGGUGAGAUGAUAAUCAUUUUGGCGCUGCUGGUGGGAAGAACAAUGAUCCUCCACAAGCUUGAUCCAGGGCCAGCAGUGGUGGCAGAAAGCCCAUGCACCUGGUUACUGAAGCAUUUGGUGGCCUAGUUACUGAAGCAUUUGGAUCUUGUAAGAAUUCCACAACAAAUCCAAGAGUACUGUCUGGUGGCCAUCUUCACCGCAUGCCCUCACCUGGACGUGCCCAUGGAUGCUGAAGGCACAAGACACUAGGCACGAAAGCAAUGGGAAAUUCUGGCCUGCCUUUAAAUGUUUGCACAGGAUUAUACCCAAAAGAAGUGAGCCAUCUCCAAGAGGCAUGCACAGGAACGUUCAUGAAGCUUUACUACUAAUUAUCAAAAACCAAAUAUCAGCCAAACACACAACAGUAAAAUGGGUUGGGAGUAUAGCUUGAUGAUAAAGGGCUUGCCCAGCAUGUGUGAGGCCUUGGUUUCAUUACCACACCACUAAAAUGAAAGAAAGAAAGAAAAAAAACACAGAGUAAAAUGGUUUAUUAAGUAGAAUUUUCCAAAAUAGUCACAAAUUGAAAUAUACCAGUGGGAAUAAAAGAGCUACAUAUCCAACAAUAUGGGUGAAUCUCACAAUGGUACUAAAAAGGCCAGAUACAAAAAAAAGAGAAAAAUUGUAGGAUUCUUCACGUAUAAAGUUCAAAAACAGGCAAAACUAGUAUUUUUCACUCUGUAGCCCAUGCUGGU